rnacentral:rRNA from 1 species
GACGAACGCUGGCGGCGUGCUUAACACAUGCAAGUCGAACGGAAAGGCCCUGCUUUUGUGGGGUGCUCGAGUGGCGAACGGGUGAGUAACACGUGAGUGACCUGCCCUUGACUUUGGGAUAACUUCAGUAAACUGGGGCUCAUACCGGAUAUGAGCUCCUGCUGCAUGGUGGGGGUUGGAAAGUUUCGGCGGUUGGGGAUGGACUCGCGGCUUAUCAGCUUGUUGGUGGGGUUGUGGCUUACCAAGGCUUUGACGGGUAGCCGGCCUGCGAGGGUGACCGGGCACAUUGGGACAGAGAUACCGCCCAGACGCCUACGGGGGGCAGCAGUGGGAGAUAGUGCACAAUGGGCGGAAGCCGUGUGCAGCAACGCCGCGUGCGGGAUGACGGCCGUCAGGUUGUAAACCGCUUGCGCCUGUGACGAAGCGUGAGUGACGGUAAUGGGUAAAGAAGCACCGGCUAACUACGUG